rnacentral:rRNA from 1 species
UAGGGACCAAGCGUUGUUCGGAUUUACUGGGCGUAAAGGGCGCGUAGGCGGCGCGGUAAGUCACUUGUGAAAUCUCUGAGCUUAACUCAGAACGGCCAAGUGAUACUGCAGUGCUAGAGUGUGGAAGGGGCAAUCGGAAUUCUUGGUGUAGCGGUGAAAUGCGUAGAUAUCAAGAGGAACACCUGAGGUGAAGACGGGUUGCUGGGCCAACACUGACGCUGAGGCGCGAAAGCCAGGGGAGCAAACGGG